rnacentral:rRNA from 1 species
CCUACGGGCGGCAGCAGUGGGGAAUAUUGGACAAUGGGGGGAACCCUGAUCCAGCCAUGCCGCGUGUGUGAAGAAGGCCCUCGGGUUGUAAAGCACUUUCAGUGAGGAAGAACGCCUGGUGGUUAAUACCCAUCAGGAAAGACAUCACUCACAGAAGAAGCACCGGCUAACUCCGUGCCAGCAGCCGCGGUAAUACGGAGGGUGCGAGCGUUAAUCGGAAUUACUGGGCGUAAAGCGCGCGUAGGUGGCUUGAUAAGCCGGUUGUGAAAGCCCCGGGCUCAACCUGGGAACGGCAUCCGGAACUGUCAAGCUAGAGUGCAGGAGAGGAAGGUAGAAUUCCCGGUGUAGCGGUGAAAUGCGUAGAGAUCGGGAGGAAUACCAGUGGCGAAGGCGGCCUUCUGGAAUGACACUGACACUGAGGUGCGAAAGCGUGGGUAGCAAACAGGAUUAGAUACCCGAGUAGUC